rnacentral:lncRNA from 1 species
AACUUUUGACAAGAGUUUCAGGAACGAGAUCAAGUUUCUAUCAGAAAUACGACAUCGAAACAUAGUGAAGCUUCACGGGUUUUGUCUACACCGACGAUCCAUGUUUUUGAUCUAUGAAUACAUGGAAAAAGGGAGUUUGUUCUGCAACCUAAGGGAUGAAGUGAACGCUGUGGACAUGGAUUGGACGAAAAGAGUAGAGAUCAUCAAAGGCAUAGCACAUGCUUUGUCUUACUUGCACCAUGAUUGCUGCCCUCCGAUAGUUCAUCGAGACAUAUCAAGUAACAAUGUUCUUUUAAACUCAAGUUUUGAGGCCUUUGUGGCCGACUUUGGAACAGCUAGAAUGUUGGAUCUUGAUUCAUCCAAUAAGACCAUUAUUGUCGGAACUUAUGGCUACGUAGCUCCAGGUGGCGUUUUCUUUUUUACUUGAUUUACUGACCUUUUCUCUGAACAUAUAGUUGAAUUUCUUCUUACUAAUUUGUGUAUGUAGAACUUGCUUAUACAAUGAUUGUCACCGAAAAAUGCGAUGUUUAUAGUUUUGGAGUGGUAGCACUGGAAACGUUAAUGGGAAAGCAUCCUGAAGAAGUGUUAUCAUGGUUGUCAUCACCAAGUUCCUUGGUAAACAUGAAGCUGGUUGAUGUGUUAGACAACCGUUUACCACUUCCAACAAGCCAACUAGUUACACAAAAUCUUGUUUAUGUUGCUACACUGGCAUUCGCUUGCUUAAAUCCACAACCGAAGCCCCGACCAACAAUGAAAGAAGUGUGUGAAGAGUUCCUUUCUCGCCAUACAUCCUUGGGAAUUCCUCUUCGGAUGAUCUCUUUGUUACAACUCAUGAACCGUGAAAUGCAUAUUGGAGGCAAAACUAAAACUUGUGAUGUUUAAAGUCCAUGAGCUUGUUGAUUAGAUAUUGUUUAUCAUGCUCUGAUAAUUUGUUUGUAAACCAUCUCUGGUUUUAUAUAUGAUGGAAUGAAUUGCAAUGUUUAAUAAACCUGUUUAUUCGGUUGCUUUAGAAGACAUAAAUUCUGCAAUUUGAUCCAAAUAUUAAGACAUCAUCGCUGGCUGCUUCCUUGAAUUUUGUGCUUCUUUCAAACCAACUCAAAGAUAAAUAACAUAAAAGUAAAUUAAGGGUGAAUCAAAGCAACAAAAUGCAAUCAAUACAUACAUCAAGAAUUCACCUCAACUAUCUAUAAUUCAUGAAACAAUCUCUCAACUUAUAAAAUGUAAGUGAGAUUCCACAGACCUGAUAUCCAAACUCAAAAGCAAUAAAAGGCGUCAUCAGAACCCUGGCAAGUGAAGACGACAUUCUUUUCAAGCAAGGUAGCGAUACAACUUCCUGUCACCUUUAUCCCUCUACAGGAACUCACAUUAGUAUACAUUUUUAUUUAACAUAUUAUAUAAAUUACACUUUAUAAAUCAAAAAAACAAAUGAAACUCUGAGUAUUACAUAUAUAAUAAUAUACUGCAUAUUUCCUAAAAAAUGAUAAUAUACCGCACAUGUUACAAUGCAUUUUCAAAAAAAAGAAAAAGAAAUGUGACCAUAAUAUAUAAUUUAUAUUACAAACAAAGGUACUCAUAUUUUAUAGUUCAUCAUUUUUAAUGUUUGGGACUGUAGUCGGCCAUCACGAUUUGGUUGGUAACAAAUGAAUAUAUUAUGGAUAAACUAUUAUAGAGUUUACAAAAUUACUGCUUUUUAGUCACUCGAUUAUAAAAAGUUAUAAAAUAGCCAUUUAAUUAUUAUUAAAUUACAUUUUUGAUUAAAUGCAAAAAGUACAUAUCUUAUGUAAUUUAAUUGGUCAAAUUAUGAGAAUGAACCAUUGAUUUUCUCCAUGUUUAUAUUAAAUUUUAUACAGGGGUGCAAUUUGGGGUCAAAAGAGAAAAAGGAGAAGCAAUUGGGCUAGAUUGAAGAAAGGAGCAAAGAAGGCGAGCCAAAACAGAAUUUUUCCAAGUUGUAAUUAGCUGAAAUUUUAUUUUGACUUAGUGGGGGAUUAUGUAGAGAUUUUGAUAUCGUAGGAAUAUGUUUUUUUCCUUGAUUUUCUAUGGCUAGUGGCCUUUAAUUUGGCAAAUUUGUUCAAAGCCACUAGUAUAAAUAGAGGGCUACUAUGUUCAUUUAAUCAUCAAGUUUUUCAAUCAAGUUUUUAAUCAAGCUUUUAUCUUUUGAAUUCAAUCUUCUUUCCUUUUUGCAAAUUUAUUUGCUGACAUUAAUUCCUUAUAUUUUUCCAUUUAUUAGUUUCCAGCUUUGGAACUACUGCACCCAAACCUUGCCUCACCCACAUACAUCCACUUACAUUUCUUUUUCAUUUAUCCAACCCUCUCCAAAUAUGCCCAACUCCAACAUGCCCCAAACCUAGUCAACUAAACCCAUUUCAGCUUUAGGUCGGUGUUAACUUCGUCUAGACCGGUGAGUUAUGAACCCGAGCAAUUUAAAUCCUGAAUUCUAGUAUUUAUUAUUUCUCUGGAUUAAGAGUAUGAUUUCAUCAACUCACAAAGUCAAAUCAACACUAAGUCAAAAAAGACGUCGUUUGAGUUAGUGUGGUUAGACGUACAAUUGGGAUUCCGAAAGGAUCGAUUGUCUAAUCAGUUUUCCGUGAACACAUUGGCGUGCCAAGUGGGGAUUCUUGUUUGGUUCCGUCAAGGGAAGUAGUAAUCGGAUUUAAAUGUCCCACGCGAUUGAGGGCAUUGGUUCGUGCUAAGCUCUUCUAGAACGCAAAGAUGUAGGAGUUCUAAAUCACGAACGUUUUGUAGGUUGUUUGAUCGGCAAUGGUUAGUUAUAGGACAUUUCAUAACUAAUUUACACAAGGAAGAGUUGGUGUCCGAGGUGUCUUUGGUAGCUAUAACUAGCUUAUUGGAAAAGAGAAGUUCAUCUAAUUUCGAGGAUCGGUUCAAAGACGGAAAAACUCAUGCCUGAAGCUGAGCUAAAUUUAAUUGAUUUUUCUUCAAAUUUACUUAACUGUUUUUAUUAUUUAAUUGUUUCCAGCUUUUACUUUUUACGCAUUUUUUCCCCUGUUUAUUUCAGGUUUCAAAUUUUAUCCCCCCAAAUUUCUUGGGCAUGACAACUUCCCAAACAUAAAUAUGGUCGAGAGAGAGAAACAAUUUUCAGUAAUCUAGUCUCUAAGGGAUUGAUCCUACUCCCUAUAUUGCUCAAAUUUGCAAAUUAGGUGUAGGAUUUUAUUGGUGGAAUCAACAACCAUCAGUUUUGGCGCCGUUCCCGGGGACUGGCAACACUCACAAUUGUUUAAAUCGUCUUCAUGACUAAAUCUUCAUCCAGAGAUCUCGAAUACGACCCAGAGAUUUGAGAAAUCAAAAUGAGCACGACGAAAAAAGACAGAAGCUCUUAAACAUGCAAGUAAAGAAAAAGUUGAGCUAGGACAAGGGAUCUUAGAAUCCGACGUCGAAAAGUUGAGCUAAGAAAUUCGGGCAGAGGCAAUUCAACGUGGGAAACAAGUCAAAGUGGUUGAACCUGAGACCGAACCACUUUUUGAAAAAAAGAAGCAGAAGACAACCUCGGUGAACCAGAAAGGAUGGAAAACCGAACCAUUCGUCAACUAGCCACAUAAGCAACUAUUCCUUUUAAAAAAUUUAAAUAUUCCUUUUAACUUUUUAUUUUUGUUGACAUGGCAGCUGACAUGGUAUUUCCACAUAAGCAACUAUCGCUAACAUGAAGCACCACGUUAGCGCCGUUAAUGGCCACGUCAAUGUUGUAACGGUCAAUAUUAGUCAAAGGGCCUAUUUGGCCAAUUUUGUUAGUUCAGGGGCUCAAUUGGGUGCAAAAAGUUCGUAGGGGCUUAAUUGAUUUUUUUUGAAAAAGUUCGAGGACCAAAAAUACCAUUAAACCCUUCUUUAACUAUUGAUAUUUCUUUUUCUAAGAAUCAGUCAACAUUAGUUAAAAGGCCUAUUUUGUCAGUUUUGUUAGAUUAAGGGCUCAGUUGGGUGCAAAAAGUCUGCAAGGGCUUAAUUGAUUUUUUUGAAAAAGUUCAACGAUCAAAAAUACCUUUAAGCCCUACUUUAACUAUUGAUAUGUCUUUUUUAAUUAAUUUUACAUUAGUGCAUAGUACAGGCACACUAUGUACGAGGUGUUUCCACAUAUACAUGUGAAGUGUAUUUUGAUACCACGGAGGAAUUAGAUGAAAAUGUGACUAUUAAGGUAGUAGUGUCACCUUCUAGUAAUUGCAAAGAAUUAUAAUUUUUUAGAUGCAUUUGGCUAGUAGAGUGUAAUUAUAUUGUAAUUCUUUGUGCCUUGUUUAGUAAUAUAAAUUGUAAUUACACAUUUACAAAUUUUAAAUUUUUUAAAAAGUAUUAAUUACUAUAAAUAGUUAUCAAUAAUACUUGAGAAAAAAUUUUAAAUAGGUGACAUAAAUUAAAAUCAAAUCAUGUUAUGUUAGUCCAAAAAAGUAACCGACAACACGAUUAUAUGCAACUUUAUUAUUGCUCUAGCAUUCCAUGUUUGUUGGGUUAUUCUUUUUCUAACAUUUAACAUAUACUUCUUAUCAUCAUCUAUUUGUUCUUGACCAAUUUCUUCAUUGUUGAUACAAGGUACAACAAUGGAGGGGAGUAAGGAGGAGAUAAGGUGGAGUGAGUGGUGGUUUUGUGGAGGCCAGUUCACUUAAAGAGGCAGAGAGCUAGAAAGGAAUAAGAGGACAAGCUGAUUGCUGAAAGAAAAGAUGGUUGUUCAGAGUAACUUUAAGGGUUGGAAAAUCGAUCCAUUCUUCAUCGUUGGAAAGGUAUUUAUAAAAGAGGCCCUCUUGUCCAUUAGCAUGAUGUGGCAAGAUAAAUGCUCAGCCCCACCAAAUGUGUAUAUUCACGAACAUGAAGGAUAUUCAUGAUGGGCCCUAUUCUAUUAUCCAUUCGAUCAGUACAAUGUUGUUACGCUCAUGCAAGUCCUAAUGGCCUCAAGGAUGUGUUCACACCAAAAAAAGGGGUGCCUAACCUUUCUAAAGGGUUGGUGCUCCUUUGAUCUUAGUGGAUGGUCCGGCGAGACAUCUUCUCAGGCAGACUCAAUGAGUGGGUUAAUGUUGUCUAUACUGUUGACACGUGUCCAUGUGGCGGGGGUAUAACAUUCAUCAUCUAAAUCAAAAUCUGAAUAUGCAUCAUUAAGAUUAUCUAGAUCAUUUUUUUAUCUGUAUCAUUAAGAUUAUCAAUAUCUGCUUUUUUUUUCAUGUACUGUUUAAAAGUAUUGAUAAUUCCAAUUCCACCUAUAAAUGGAAUUGUGAAAUAUACAACAAGUUAGAACGAUUGAACAUUGUUUUUCAGACUAUAUUGAUGUGGUUUGUUAAUAUGGGAAAUAUUUUUUUAGAACAACAAAUAUCCUCUCAACCACAUUUCAAAACUUUGAAUAAAGAGUUUACGAGCCGUGUUUGGUACUUGUGUCUAGCUCUGUUCUUUCAAAUGAUAUUGUACCCCGUGAUAUACUGUAAAAAAACCUUUUGCAUUUGCAUAAUCAACAUCUACCGCAUAAUAUUUCCUAAAAAACAUGUAACAAUUUAAAUAAUUUGUGAGAAAAAUAAAAUAACAGCAAGGUGAUGAUAAUAUUAAUGUAUUUAUGAAAUACAAUUUUGAUCUAUUUUCUCUCCCAAACAUCAUUCUUAGCAUUCUAGUAUUUGAGGCACAAAUCAACUUUAUAAUCCUUCAAUUAUAAUAGUUUUUAUAAAUCCAAUUUGCAGUUUACUAUGUGUUCAAAUAAUAAACCAAAUUAGAUAAAAGAAAUAAUAUAAAUUUUAUAAUAUAAUUGUUAUACCUAAUUUUAGCUCGGGCUCACAUAUGGAAACAUAUUUUUUGAGGAUAUGCAAUCUUAUAUAUGAUAUGCAAUCCUAGAUAUGAUAUAUGCAAUCUUAGAUAUGAUAUGCAAUCUUAGAUAUGAUGUAUAAUCUUAGAUAUGAUAUGCAAUCUUAGAAGAUAUGAUUUUGAAAUCUUAGAGAUACCCUUUAAUCUCAGCCGUUGAUGUAAUUGAUCUGUACCGUUGGAUUUGGGGAGGCUCAACUAUAAAUAGAGGCCUCUCCCUUCAUUGCAUGAGGAGAAAAAAAGAGGAAAGGGAGGAAUAAAAAAAGAGAACGAUUGACAGUUUUUUAAAGGUGGCUUACUAUUUUUUUCGUUUGAUUAUUUUGUACUUAUUUACAAUUUUAAAAAAGGAGAAGGUGAUACCACUACGAAUUUUAUUUAUUUAUUUUUUAUUUAGCCCCUCCGCCUUUUAAUGUCUUUAUAAUUAGGUUUUUUUUAUUUUUUUAAAAAUUUUGCCCUUUAAUUUAUUUUAAUUUCAAUUUAACCCUUCUUGAACGACACCGUUUUAGAGGAGAAGGGAAAAUUUCCCUUCCAGCCCCUUUAUGUAAUUCGCGUAUUCAAUUUAGUCCUCCAGACUUUAUUUAUUUGCGAAAUUACCCCAUAUUUUUUAUUUGUAAUCCAAUUUAGCCUUUUUUUCAUAUUUUCUUCAAAAAUCAAUAUUUUUUUGAUGAUGCAAUUGUUCUUAUCUUAUAAUUCUUAUCUGUAAUUAUUAUUAUAUUGUAUAUAUGUUUUUUAAAAAAACAUGUAGUUAUGCCUUUUUUUAAUUAGUAUUUUUUUCGCGUACUUAUAUAUAUAUAUAUACUUGUUUUAUUUAUUUAAUUAUCUUUGAUAUUAUUUAUUUCAAACCUAUGUAUUUUUAUGUGCACUUGUAUGUAUUUUUUGUUAUUUAUUUUAAUUAUUCGCUUAUUAAUUUAUGUUUGCAUAUUUUCUGCUCAUUUAUUUAAUAUCUUUUGCAUGUCAUUAUUUAUAUUCAAUUGUUUGUAUUAUUUCCAUGCUAUUAUUGUACUUGUUAUCAUUGUUAUUAUGACAUUUGCGCAUAUAAAAUAAUGUUACAUUAUUUUUUAGAAAAAACUCAAAUUUAAAAAUAUAAUUUUCAAAAUUGAGAUAAUACUCGUAUUUAGGAUUGCUCAAGGAAAUUGAGCCCUAACGUAUUGGGUUCCGAUUUUUUUGAAAAUCUAACAAUCGAGGAUUGCUCUUUAAACCAACUAAAAACUCAUUAUUGGGAAUUCAACACGUUGUGUCCUAACGUAUUGGAUGUGACGCAUUGAUUUCUCGAUGUAGAUUUUUUAAAAAUCAUAAAGGAAAUAUUCCGAGUUUGGGAUUUUUAAAGGAAUCGUGCCCUAACAUAUUGGGUGUGAUUUCUUAAAUCUUGGAUAAGUGGAUGUUCUUUUAAAGUAAAGGAAAUAUUCCGAGUUUGGGAUUCUAAAGGGAUCGUACCCUAACGUAUUGGGUGUGAUUUCUUAAAUCUUGGAUAAGUGGAUGUUCUUUUCAAGUUUUAUUGUACAAGUAUUUUGGCCCAAUUCAUUUUUGGGGGAAAAUUAGAAUGCUGUGCCCUAACGCAUUAGGUGUGGUAUCUUCUUUCUCUGAAAUAAAAAGGGUCUUAAUACGUAGCCUUUUAAGUUUUGCUAAGGAUUACGUUUUUCCAAAUUCUCGACCUUAAGAUACUAAUUAAUUAACCAGGUACAAAUUUUGGGCGUUACGAGGGUGUUAAUCCUUCCUCGAACGUAACUGACACCCGGAUCCGUUUUUCUAAAACUUGUAGACCAAAGCCGUUUUUUAGGUGAUCCAAUCACACCUCAAUAAAAGAUUGGUGGCGACUCCCAAAUUUUCAUUUUUUUUAAAGUCGACAACCUAAAAUUUUUGUUUUUCAAAAAAAUAGUUUCGACAAUAACAUUUAUAAACAAUGUUUUCUAUAAAGUGUUGAAUAGCUUUUACGGUGCUUAUGUUAAAGUGCUCAAAUAUGUGGCCAUACAAGAAUAGUAUAAAAAUUAUAAUACAUGCUUUAUAAGCGCAAUUGGUUAGGUUAAAAUUUGCUUUAUAAAACACAGGAGUUGAGUGAGAUGAAAAGGGUUUCCUACCUUAAUCAGUAAUCGAGGGUUUAAUCCUCGCCUAAGUAUGGAGUAGCUUUAAAACUUGUGGCCAGCAUCUACCCCCUUAAUGGGCCUACAAAAUGCGAAGGAUUAGUUACCGGGCGCGCUUCGGUAGAUACAUUGAGGAAUCAAAAAAAAAAAUUACACCAAAUAUUUUGACUUAUGUGUCUAAUAACAAAGCAGUUUUGACCCGAUAAGAAAUAUAUAAUUUUAUUUUAAAAAAUAUAUAAAAUAUAUGUCAUAAAAUUAAAAUUUUUUAUUAUUAUUGUAUUAAAAUAAAUUUUAUAAACUUCUAUAAAAAAUAAUUUCUUAAAUCAUGUACGUGUGUUUGAAAGACUAUAAGAUAAUUAGUAAUUGAUUGUAAUUACUCACGUAAUUACCUCAACUCUCAACUCCCUAAGAAUUGAAUAGUAUAAUUGAGGUGCUAUUAUAUUCAAUUUAGUGGACCCAACAAUUACAAUAGUUAGCCAAACAUACUAUUCCUUUGUACUUGCAAGUAAUUACACUUAAAUCUAAUAAUUAAUUCACAUUAAAUUUUUCAAAAUCAUACACUUUGGGGUCGAAAUUAAACUGAUUUUUUUUUAGUUUCCAAACAAUUGCAAAGAAAAUUCAUGAAAUUAAGUUGUUUUCAAAUAAUUAAUUCACAUUGGAAUUUUCAAAUAAGAUAUCACAUUACUAAUACUUCAAUCAUUAAAAUAUUAUAUAAGACAUUUUGCCUUAUACAGCAAAAUAUGAAAAUACUAAAACUUAAUCCAGUUUAAUCAUUCUAAAGUUUCUAAUUUUGUUUAAAAGUAUUUUCAAAUAUAUAUGAUUUUAAAUUUGUAUAUUUUAACAUGAAAUUCAUUAUAUUGUAGUAAGAUUUUAAUGUAAUAUGUUUAAUUUUUUUAAUUUAAUUCAAACAAUUUCACUCGAUUCAGCUCGACUCGAAUUUUAUUUCACUCAACUCAAUUUGAAAAAAAAAUUCUAAAUUGAAUUAAGAUGAUAAAAUAAGACUUGUCAACUCGAUUAACUCAAAAUUAUUUUACUCAAUCACCGCUAGCAAUUGCAUCCUUGAUACUAAUAACAACAUAAAAAUGUAUACUCAUCUUUUCAAAUUAAUAUGCAGCCACGAAAUGGAAAUUUCCAUGAAAAAAAAACUAUUGCAUAUGAAAAAGUAAGUUCCAUGACAUCGACUGAAGCAAUAACAACAAUUGCAAAAAGACAUUGACUCCUAUAGAAAUCCAUCAGUUUGGAAACUAUAACGUAUAUGCUACAACUGGGUUUUUUUCGUGUGUCACCCGUUAGGAUUUGAAUUAUGUUGGUAAUAAAUAUAAUCUAUUUUAAUUAAAAAAUGAGUAGAAUUUAGUAAUUUAUUAUGACCCAAAUUAUUGGUAAAGUUAAAAUUAAUUUUUUUUCGAACAAAAACUUUCGGUGCUCAGUACUUAUGUGUAAUUCAAUCUUCUCAUCAUAUAUUCCGAAUAAGCUAAAAGGUAUGGCAUGGUGUCUACCUUUGCUCAUCCAUGUCAGACUUGCAACUCCUUGUAUUCACCUUGAUUGUCGGCCUUCACUAAGGACUUAUAGUUAUACAAGUCAAGAGCAAAAAGAUAUGUCCCCUAAUAUCACUUUGGGUGAUGAGUCCUUUCUGAACCAUUCCAUCACCUUCAUAUGUCAUACCAUACCUAAAACAUUCUACUUUCAACAUCUAUCAAUGCGAAUCCAUUUGGUGAUGAAUCAAAGUAUGACGGUCAACAUACAAGUUUGUGUCUUAAGUCUAAGGAUCAUUUACACUACCAAUACAUGGGAGUAUUUCUAUAAACAUUUGAGUGAAAUACCAAAUGGAACUCUCAUAAUAGGCCAAGUUAUAUUUUAUAAUUUUUUCGAACUUUUUAAAAUCAUUAAUAUUUUAUUUUUUAUAUUUGUAAUACAAUAAUUUUAUAAUUUUUUUAUAACUUUUACAUUUUAAAAAUAUUUUAAUAACUUGAACAUCAAUAUAUACUUCCACACGGCAUGUCACAUGUCAACUUGCCAUAGCUUCCGUCAACUAAUCAACAACCAAUAUUGAUAAAAUCAGUCAACAACAAUUUUCGUUAUUGAAAAGAGCCAAUUGAUUUUUUUCCAUUGAAUCCUCAAUUGGGUCUGUUUUUCUAUUAUGAGCUUAAUUAAUUUUUAACUUUUUAUUAAGUUGUUUUUCCUUUAACCUUAUAUUAAUAUUCAUUACUUUAUUAAAAAAAACUUACUUUUAGGUAAUUUUUCCAACCAAAAUGAUAUCAAAUUAACUCGUAACAUAAAUUCAAUAAAAUAUAUUAUAUAAACAUAUACAUAAAUUCAUUAAAACCUGUCAAUAGUGAAAACACCAUUAAUUUGUCUGAAGUCUCUACUUUUGGGAUCUUAAUGGGGGAGAAAAUUUUUAGAUAGAAACUGAAUACGAUAUAUAAAGUAAAUGCCACGUUAAAAGCUCAGUUCUUUGGAAAAUAAAUUCCAUCACGACUGAACCAAAAAUUCCCUUGUGUCAUAAUCUUUUGUGGAAAAUUAGGCACAUAAUGGAAAAGUAUAUCCACAAAAUGAUAGAAAAAGGCUUUGGGCCACAAUUAAAUCAACAUCUUUAAAUUGUUAAAUCAAAUUAAAGAUGGAAUCGUCGUUGUCAUGGGAUCCACACGGGGUGUACGUAUAAUGAAUUUCCCAUGUUUUUUGCAUGAAACUUUUGAUUCAAUGAGAAAGGAAAUAUUUUCAAAAUCAUGCAGCUUCGGAUUCUAAUUAAGCUUAUUUUUUUCCAAGCAAUUGCAAAGAUUUGUUUCGACAACAAAUAAUAAUCGGAUAAAAGUGUAAUUAUUAAAUAGUAAUUACAAAAGAUUUAUAAUUACAAAAUUAGAUCGUAAUUUUCUAUAUCAUAUUUCGUAGUACAAAUUGUAAAUUAUAAUUAUAAUUACAUAGUUACUUAAUAUAUUUUUUUAAAAUAUUAAUUACUAUAAUAAAUUAUCAGUAAAAUUAAAAAAUUUCUAAACAAGUAACAAAAAUUAAAAUAAAAUCAUCAUAUUUAAUAUGUUAGCCCAAGAAACUAAUCGAUAAUGAUUACUAAUAAAAUUAUAAGAAAAAUGAUUUAUUUUAGGUUAUAACAAAUAUAUAUUUUUUUUUUGAACAAUGAGAUUUGAACCUAAGCAAUUCCUUGGAAAGAUGAAUACUCGACCAAUAGACUACAACUUAAAGUUUUUUAGAAUAUUAUAACCAUUUUUAUAAUUCAUGAAUUAGGUUAAAAUAGUAUAAAAUUUUAAUAUAUAACAAUUAUAAAAAAAUUAUAAAGUGUCCAAUAACUUCCAAAACACUUCUUAUAAAUAAUAUUUUUUUAUCUUUUUUUUUUUAAAUAAGUCAUGGCAAAAAAUUAUAAUUGUUUAUAAAUAAAUAUUAUUUUCUAUAACAUAUAGUAUAGACACAUAAGUAAGUUAUAUUUAAAUUUUUUGACCAUAACUUUUUUAUAAGUAAGUAUGUAGUACACUUUUUAUAAAACAUAAAUUAUUUUUAUAAUAUACUUUUGGCCUAUAACUUUAGAAACUUUUUAGGAUUUAAAUAAUAUAAUUCUUGUCAUAACUUUAUAAAAUAUUAAAAAUAUAUAAUAGUAAUUUUUAGAACUUAUAAUAUGAUUUUAGAAAUUUUUAUUCAUAAUCAUCCUAAACACGUAUGCGUAUUUAUGUUUAUAAAAUAAUUUUUUAACUUAAAUUUGUAUAAAAAAUAUUUUUUAAAGUUAAAUUAUGUAUGAAUUUUCCGUGAGAAAUUAAUAUAUCGGGAAACAUGCGUUGACAUAUACUUUUGAUAAAUUCAAAUCAGGAGGUAUCAUAAUUAUCAAGAAAUAUGGACCAUAGGAACAGCAAAGAUUCAAUCCUAUAAUAUAGUAUUUGCAUUAUUGAUACUAAACAUAGAAAUUCCAUGAAGAAGAAAGCAUUGCGCAUGAUGAAUUAAGUUCCAUGACAAGGACUAAAACAAUGACGAUAACUUGCCCCUACAACUAUUGCAACAAGAGCUUGAAUCCUUUGAUGAGUUCCUUUAAAUUCAUCGUUUGGAAACCAUAACAUAUAUGCUACCACUAAAUACUUACCAGAUUAAACAAUGGCCUCAUCCCUAACCAUUUCUGUUAUUCUAGGGGUACUGUGGGCUGCCAUCCUUCUUUCCUUUGCUACAACUGUAACAGCAGCAUAUCCAUCGCCAUUGGAGUCCGAAGCCAUAGCUCUGCUAGAAAGCAGGUGGUGGAGUAACCAUAGCAGCAAUACUUCACAACGUUGCCAGUGGCCUGGUAUAACCUGCAACACUGCUGAAAGCAUCACCAAAAUUAACUUAUCUGAUGCGCCCAACAUUGAGGUUGGAGAUAGAUUUGGGAAACUGAAUUUCUCUUCAUUUCCAAAUCUUGUCCUUCUUGAUCUUAGUGACCAUCAACUUAGAGGAAAAAUCCCGCAUCAGAUAGGUGAUCUAUCAGCAUUGAAGUACCUUGACUUGUCUUAUUGUGGUUUAUCUGGUGAGUUACCUCCUUCUCUAGGGAAGCUGACCCAAUUAGAAUUCCUCGACAUUUCCUAUAAUGAUAAUAUUAAUGGUUCCAUCCCUCCACAAUUGGGGAAUCUAGAGAACCUUGUGACUUUAAACUUAAGUCAAUGUGGAAUUGUUGGUCCAAUCCCUUCUGCUUUGGGUCAAUUAACCAGUCUCCAAUCUCUGAUCCUUUGGGGGAACCAAAUCAAUGGAUCUAUCCCAUUAGAAAUUGGAUAUUUGAGAAAUUUGACUUAUUUGAGUCUCUCCAACAAUAGAAUUGUUGGUCCAAUCCCUUCUGCUUUGGGUCAAUUAACCAGUCUCCAAUCUCUGAUCCUUUGGGGGAACCAAAUCAAUGGAUCUAUCCCAUUCGAAAUUGGAUAUUUGAGAAAUUUGACUUAUUUGAGUCUCUCCAAGAAUAGAAUUGUUGGUCGAAUCCCUUCUGCUUUGGGUCAAUUAACCAGUCUCCAAUCUCUGAUCCUUUCGGGGAACCAAAUCAAUGGAUCUAUCCCAUUAGAAAUUGGAUAUUUGAGAAAUUUGACUGAUUUGAGUCUCUCCAGCAAUGGAAUUGUUGGUCCAAUCCCUUCUGCUUUGGGUCAAUUAACCAGUCUCCAAUCUCUGAGCCUUUCGGGGAACCAAAUCAAUGGAUCUAUCCCAUUAGAAAUUGGAUAUUUAAGAAAUCUGACUUUUUUGGGUCUCUACAACAAUAGACUUGUCGAUUCAAUACCCAUUACUCUGUACCAAUUAACCAAUUUGGAAAUUUUGUACCUUGAUAAUAACCAACUUCAAGGUUCUAUUCCCCAAGAAAUUUGUAAUCUAGCAAAUUUAACUUCAUUGUACCUCUCCCAAAACAAAUUGACUGGUUCAAUCCCUUCUUGUGUUGGUAGUUUAUCAAAGAUGCAGGACUUAGCCCUUGGUUCUAAUCUAUUAAAAGGUCCUAUUCCCCAAGAAAUUUGUAAUCUAGCAAAUUUAACUUCAUUGGCCCUCUCCCAAAACAAAUUGAGUGGUUCCAUCCCUUCUUGUGUUGGUAGUUUAUCAAAGAUGUGGUACUUAAGCCUUGAUUCUAAUCUAUUAAAAGGUUCUAUCCCAAAAGAUAUUGGCAAGCUUUUUGAUCUAUCAUAUCUAAACCUUAGCUUCAACCAACUCUCAGGUCCUAUCCCUAUCUUGUAUGCUACUGAUCUCUACAUUGUCGACGCUGGAAAUGGUUGUAACAAGAUUUCUCCCGAUCCAUUUGAAGGCAAUAGUGAUUUAUCACCCUAUAUGUGUCCUACUCCAGUAACCAAAAAAGCCAACAGCAGCAGAAUUCCUUACUAUAUCAAAAUAUUCCUCCCUAUUGCGAUCUUAUUCACAUUCUCCAUUUUAGGAUGUUUGCUAUUUUCACGGUUUAAGCUCAAGAAUAACCAUGUCAGCGUACAACCAACCAAGAAUGGGGAUUUGUGUUCCAUAUGGAACUAUGAUGGAAAGAUAGCAUACGAGGAUAUCGUUGCAGCAACAGAGGAUUUCGACUUCCGAUACUGUAUUGGAGUUGGUGGUUAUGGUAGUGUUUACAAAGCAAAACUCCCUUGUGGUAAAGUAGUUGCUUUGAAGAAACUUCAUCAUUUAGAAGCCGAAAAUCCAACUUUUGACAAGAGUUUCAGGAACGAGAUCAAGUUUCUAUCAGAAAUACGACAUCGAAACAUAGUGAAGCUUCAUGGGUUUUGUCUACACCGACGAUCCAUGUUUUUGAUCUAUGAAUACAUGGAAAAAGGGAGUUUGUUCUGCAACCUAAGGGAUGAAGUGAAUGCUGUGGAAAUGGAUUGGACGAGAAGAGUAGAGAUCAUCAAAGGCAUAGCACAUGCUUUGUCUUACUUGCACCAUGAUUGCUGCCCUCCGAUAGUUCAUCGAGACAUAUCAAGUAACAAUGUUCUUUUAAA